AAUAUUUAGUAAUGUGUUCUUGUUACAUCCAUAAUCUGUUGAGUGGCUCUUGCUGUUGUGAUUAAUGCUACAAAUAAAAAAAUGAAAAAUACAACAAAACUAUCUAUUAAUUGAUCAUGGACCCUGCAGCUGAAGUGGUUUUCAUGAAGGCUUUCCAUUUGGCAUCAGUUAUGGUGAAAUCUACUCUUUUUAGGUAGUAGUAGACUAGGCAUCGUGAUGGUGGGAAUGAUGACACUGAUGAUGAUGAUGAUACACUUGCGCUGGUUGAAAAAAAUGAGGGUGGCAAUUACUAAAAAAUAUUGGUUCUACACUUCUAUUAUGCUUCUAAAAUUAUUUGUCAUACCCCCUAUCAUUUAAAAGUAGAAUUUAAUGGCAGACUGAUCUUCUAUGUUGUUUUUAUGCCUUAUUGCCUUGGAGAUACUGUACUUGUUAAGUUGUAUUCGUUAAUUAAACUUGAAUUUUGAUGACUGUUCCA
rnacentral:misc_RNA from 1 species